ensembl:lncRNA
UUUCUCUCCAGCCCAGACCUGCCUGGCUCCCAGGCCUGCAGUUUUCAUCUCUGCUCCCUCCAGACUCUUCUUUGCUUUAUUUGGAGACCGUGGUUUAAGGGAAGAGCUCUGACAAUGUCCUCGGAGCGAGGAUGCCCUCUGCUUCGUGGGAAUCAGCUCCUUAGAACUCGACUGUCAACUCUGCCUGAGUUCAGAAGCUUUCCAAUGGUCAGUUUUCUAUUGUGUGAAUUUCAACUCAACUGGAAAAACUGAUGGGGAUGCUAAGCAGUAUAAUACAUCCCAGAGUGGCAACUGCAGCCUCGGAGUCCAGAGUGUGAGAGCCUCCCUUUGUCUGUGAUGCGUUUGGGCUUGUGCGUCUGCGACGUUCCUGAGUCCCUUAAAAGGCAACACCAUGACCAUGGUUUUCUCAGGGCAGAGUUCUUUAAGAAACCCAGCUUUGUGAAGACACGUGGAUGCUUCUGAGUGCCAAAUGAACGCUCACCUCAUCCUAACUGGAAUUAGCAACUCACAGCUGCCCUGGUCAUCACGGGUUUGGGUGGUGUGGUGAGGAGGUCUGCCCAUUCUCGGCCCCAGGCUGGUGAGUAUUCUCCAGAUCGCCUUCUCCCCCCUUUCCUACAUCUUUUCUGCCUCUCCCCUCCCCACAGGAUUUUUUCAGAAACCG